GAGAGCGUAAUACCCGGAAACGGGUCCGUUGCGUUCGGAGGGGAGGGCAGAGAAACCUGGCCUAGCAAUAGGCUAAGGCGCUCGGCCCUUACCCUAC
rfam:Chloroflexi bacterium 54-19 SCNpilot_cont_500_bf_scaffold_741, whole genome shotgun sequence.